rnacentral:rRNA from 1 species
UCCGCUGACGACCGGCGCACGGGUGCGUAACGCGUAUACAACCUACCUUUUGGAGGGGAAUAGCCCAGGGAAACUUGGAUUAAUGCCCCAUAGUAUGGUGAUCUCUCCUGAGAUUAUCAUUAAACAUUUAUGGCCAUUAGAUGGGUAUGCGUCCUAUUAGUUAGUUGGUAAGGUAACGGCUUACCAAGGCUACGAUAGGUAGGGGUCCUGAGAGGGAGAUCCCCCACACUGGUACUGAGACACGGACCAGACUCCUACGGGAGGCAGCAGUGAGGAAUAUUGGACAAUGGGCGAGAGCCUGAUCCAGCCAUGCCGCGUGCAGGAAGACUGCCCUAUGGGUUGUAAACUGCUUUUAUACGGGAAGAACCGCACCCUCGUGAGGGUGUUUGACGGUACCGUAAGAAUAAGGAUCGGCUAACUCCGUGCCAGCAGCCGCGGUAAUACGGAGGAUCCAAGCGUUAUCCGGAAUCAUUGGGUUUAAAGGGUCCGUAGGCGGGAUAAUCAGUCAGUGGUGAAAGUCUGCAGCUUAACUGUAGAAUUGCCAUUGAUACUGUUAUCCUUGAGUUAUUAUGAAGUGGUUAGAAUGAGUAGUGUAGCGGUG